rnacentral:lncRNA from 1 species
GAUGCGUGUCUAAUCUGAUUUGACCCGGUCACCACCCUUAAUGUCAUUAGGGGUGCAAAUAAGCCCAGUCUAGCCUAGUUUAGUAAGCCACUUUGUCUUUGGUCAUUGUAUGCAAGGGUUGAUCAAGAUUAGGGUGAGAUUGAAAACAUGUGUUCAAGCUCAGCUCCGGACACCAAACUCAUGCAAGCUUUUUAUAGGUUCAAAUUAAAUAUUUAUUUGUUUCUUCAAACCAAAGAUUUCUCAGAAUUAGAUUAUUUAUGAAUCAAGGACAAAUAAAAGUGCAAAUGAAUGCAUUUGCAAACCAAGCCCAAUCUGGUC